GAUAAACGCUGGCGGCGUGCCUAAUACAUGCAAGUCGAACGCCGGACACCUAGCUUGCUAGGGAGAAGGAGUGGCGAACGGGUGAGUAAUACAUAAGCAAUCUGCCCACAAAGACUGGGAUAACCUCUGGAAACGGGGACUAAUACCGGAUAGGUAGGAGAGAGGCAUCUUUCUUCUAUUAAAGAUGAGAAGCACUAGUGGAUGAGCUUAUGGCGCAUUAGUUAGUUGGUAAGGUAACGGCCCACCAAGACGAUGAUGCGUAGCCGGCCUGAGAGGGUGAACGGCCACAUUGGGACUGAGACACGGCCCAGACUCCUACGGGAGGCAGCAGUAGGGAAUUUUCGGCAAUGGGGGGAACCCUGACCGAGCAACGCCGCGUGAGUGAAGACGGCCUUCGGGUUGUAAAGCUCUGUUGUAGGAAAAGAUAAACUAGGAGAGGAUCUUAGUCAGACAUUAUCUUACCAGAAAGCC
rnacentral:rRNA from 1 species